UUUUUGGAGUAAUUAACGAUUAUAUCUUUUAUCUCGGGAAAGAAGGAUAUAUGUCAAUCUACAAGUUAGGUUUAUUCCUUAUCCAGGACUCGUGUCCAUGAGAACCAAGGCGGCGCAACCCCAUCCCAUAGAUCGUAGGCAUGGAGUGUGACCCUGAUCUCGCCUUGGAGGCAGCCUAGCAGAGGAACAUCGUAGCAACAUACAAGAACCUCUCCCUAAGUUCAUAGAAGGUUUGUCCCAAAUUUUUUGUUUAUUUUGAUUUUCCUCUUCAUCGACCUCACAUCUGGAAGUUGCCUGUCUUGUGGCCGAGGAUACAUGGCAUUCAUCGCCGUAUUGGCGGCGUGGAAGGCGCCUUCAAGCCUGCACUUGCGGCUCGGGUCGACGAGGCAGCCGCAACAGGCCAACAGCCGCAACGGACCAAAGAAAUUAGAUCCAUCCAGCUUAGUGCAAUGGAAUCGACCAGCCGCCAACCUGCAUCUUCCUUUCAAAGAACCAGAGACACCGAUGGUGAGGGGCCAUGGAGGCGCGGGCGAGACCAUGAAUCGACGGGCGCACAUGGGAGGGCGGCAAAUCGAUGGUGGCGCAAGUGAGGGUCACAUGCAAGAUUACGGGAAGCAUAUAACCUGAGCUCUACGAGGGUUAUCACGAUGAGUCAUCAUAGGUAUGGAAACUUGACAGCAUUAGCUCCGGAAAGAUGCUUUCUACUCACAGUUGAACAAGUCUGGACUGAUACAAGGUAUUGCUAGGUGGACCUUGCCAGAGCAAUCAAGUAAAUUAGCAGAUUUCAGCAGGAAAAGGGUUACUCACAGGCCUCAUAAGCAAUAUGAGGAACCCGGGAAGAAGUACAAGUUAGCUACAAAAGAUGGAAAUGAUGCGCCAACAAAUACACCAAUCUUGUUUAGUACAAAAUGGGAUGCAGAUGAUUCCAAAAGACUGAUGGUCCACCAUAAUAUAUAGAAGCAACAGGAGGGAUAGCUGAUGAAGAAUGAUAUCCAUUCAAACAAUGGUGGUGUUCCUCAAGUGAAGAUUAAUAAUAUUUUCUUUUCUAGUUGUCUCAUUUUCCAGAUAGAUAUUAUCAAGUACAUUGGUUAUAUAAGGAAUGAUUUUGACUCCAUUUCUUAAAUGAUAUUUUAAUUCCAGAAUUGUAUGUCGGAAUAUUGAUGUCUAUUAAUAAAAGUGGCUACGAUCUUUUCAA